AACGUACGCUGGCGGCACGCCUAACACAUGCAAGUCGAACGAAGUAGCAAUACUUAGUGGCAGACGGGUGAGUAACAUGUAGGUAUCUGCCCUUUGGCCUGGAAUAACACGAGGAAACUUGUGCUAAUACCGGAUAAGUCUUUACGGAGAAAGCUUUAUGCACCAUUGGAUGAGCCUGCACUUGAUUAGUUUGUUGGUGGGGUAAUGGCCUACCAAGACUGUGAUCAAUAGCUGAUUUGAGAGGAUGAUCAGCCACAUUGGGACUGAGACACGGCCCAAACUCCUACGGGAGGCAGCAGUGGGGAAUCUUGCACAAUGGAGGAAACUCUGAUGCAGCGAUGCCGCGUGAGUGAAGAAGGCCCUUGGGUUGUAAAGCUCUUUCGUCGGGGAAGAAAAUGACUGUACCCGAAUAAGAAGGUCCGGCUAACUUCGUGCCAGCAGCCGCGGUAAUACGAAGGGACCUAGCGUAGUUCGGAAUUACUGGGCUUAAAGAGUUCGUAGGUGGUUGAAAAAGUUAGUGGUGAAAUCCCAGAGCUUAACUCUGGAACUGCCAUUAAAACUUUUCAGCUAGAGUAUGAUAGAGGAAAGUAGAAUUUCUAGUGUAGAGGUGAAAUUCGUAGAUAUUAGAAAGAAUACCAAUUGCGAAGGCAGCUUUCUGGAUCAUUACUGACACUGAGGAACGAAAGCAUGGGUAGCGAAGAGGAUUAGAUACCCUCGUAGUCCAUGCCGUAAACGAUGUGUGUUAGACGUUGGAAAUUCAUUUUCAGUGUCGCAGGGAAACCGAUAAACACACCGCCUGGGGAGUACGACCGCAAGGUUAAAACUCAAAUGAAUUGACGGGGACCCGCACAAGUAGUGGAGCAUGUGGUUUAAUUCGAAGAUACGCGCAGAACCUUACCAACACUUGACAUGUUCGUCGCGACUCUAAGAGAUUAGAGUUUUCGGUUCGGCCGGACGAAACACAGGUGCUGCAUGGCUGUCGUCAGCUCGUGUCGUGAGAUGUUGGGUUAAGUCCCGCAACGAGCGCAACCCUCACUUUUAGUUGCCAUCAUUAAGUUGGGCACUCUGAAAGAACUGCCAGUGAUAAGCUGGAGGAAGGUGGGGAUGACGUCAAGUCCUCAUGGCCCUUACGUGUUGGGCUACACACGUGCUACAAUGGUAUCUACAACAGGAAGCAAGACUGCGAAGUUAAGCAAAUCCCUAAAAGAUACCUCAGUUCGGAUUGCACUCUGCAACUCGAGUGCAUGAAGCUGGAAUUACUAGUAAUCGUGGAUCAGCGUGCCACGGUGAAUGCGUUCCCGGGUCU
rnacentral:rRNA from 1 species